AGGGAUAUAGCUCAGUGGCACAGCGCCUGCCUGGCAAGCAUAAGUUCAAAUCAUUAGUUUAAAUCCAGAUAUUCCUC
rnacentral:tRNA from 1 species